AUUAACUGUAGGCAGUUGAACUAUAUUGUGACCAUUCCAGCCACUAAACAUAAAUCUGUGCCUUGCACAUGUUCCUAGAACUUAAUAGGAGAAC
rnacentral:ncRNA from 21 species